rnacentral:rRNA from 1 species
CACAUGCAAGUCGAACGAGGUUAGAAAGCUUGCUUUUGAUACCUAGUGGCGGACGGGUGAGUAAUGCUUAGGAAUCUGCCUAGUAGUGGGGGAUAACUUGGGGAAACUCAAGCUAAUACCGCAUACGACCUACGGGUGAAAGGGGGCGCAAGCUCUCGCUAUUAGAUGAGCCUAAGUCGGAUUAGCUAGUUGGUGGGGUAAAGGCCUACCAAGGCGACGAUCUGUAGCUGGUCUGAGAGGAUGAUCAGCCACACUGGGACUGAGACACGGCCCAGACUCCUACGGGAGGCAGCAGUGGGGAAUAUUGGACAAUGGGCGAAAGCCUGAUCCAGCCAUGCCGCGUGUGUGAAGAAGGCCUUUUGGUUGUAAAGCACUUUAAGUGGGGAGGAAAAGCUAAUGGUUAAUACCCAUUAGCCCUGACGUUACCCACAGAAUAAGCACCGGCU